CCUACGGGAGGCAGCAGUGAGGAAUAUUGGUCAAUGGGCGAGAGCCUGAACCAGCCAAGUCGCGUGAGGGAGUACUGCCCUAUGGGUUGUAAACCUCUUUUGUCGGGGAGCAAAAGCCGGACGUGUCCGGCUGGGAGAGUACCCGAAGAAAAAGCAUCGGCUAACUCCGUGCCAGCAGCCGCGGGAAGACGGAGGAUGCGAGCGUUAUCCGGAUUUAUGGGGUGUAAAGGGUGCGCAGGCGGAUUUUUAAGUCAGCGGUCAAAUCGUGGGGCUCAACCCCAUCCAGCCGUUGAAACUGGGGAUCUAGGGUGUGCGAGAGGUAUGCGGAAUGCGUGGUGUAGCGGUGAAAUGCAUAGAUAUCACGCAGAACCCCGAUUGCGAAGGCAGCAUACCGGUGCACAACUGACGCUCAGGCACGAAAGCGUGGGUAUCGAACAGGAUUAGAUACCCUUGUAGUC
rnacentral:rRNA from 1 species